rnacentral:rRNA from 1 species
CCAGGUUGAUUCUGCCUGACGUAGACGCUAUUCCCUAAGAUUAACCCAUGCAUGUUUUUGACAUUUGAAAAAUGGACUGCUCAGUAAUACUCACUUUAUUUUAUGUACAUUUGAAAUUAACUACGUUAAAGUGUAGAUAAGAUGUGUACAGUAAGAGUGAGACCUAUCAGCUAGUUGUUAAGGUAAUGGCUUAACAAGGCAGUGACGGGUAACGGUAUUACUUUGUAAUAUUCCGGAGAAGGAGCCUGAGAGACGGCUACUAAGUCUAAGGAUUGCAGCAGGGGCGAAACUUGACCUAUGGAUUUUAUCUGAGGCAGUUAUGGGAAGUAAUAUUAUAUUGUUUCAUAUUUUAAAAGUAUAUGAGGUGAUUAAUUGGAGGGCAAAUCAAGUGCCAGCAGCCGCGGUAAUACUUGUUCCAAGAGUGUGUAUGAUGAUUGAUGCAGUUAAAAAGUCCGUAGUUUAUUUAUAAGAAGCAAUAUGAGGUGUACUGUAUAGUUGGGAGAGAGAUGAAACGUGACGACCCUGACUGGACGAACA